GUUAUAUGGUCAAGUGAAGAAGCGCAUACGGUGGAUGCCUUGGCAGUCAGAGGCGAUGAAAGACGUGGUAGCCUGCGAAAAGCUUCGGGGAGUCGGCAAACAGACUUUGAUCCGGAGAUGUCUGAAUGGGGGAACCCAGCCAUCAUAAGAUGGUUAUCUUGUACUGAAUACAUAGGUGCAAGAGGCGAACCAGGGGAACUGAAACAUCUAAGUACCCUGAGGAAAAGAAAUCAACCGAGAUUCCCUUAGUAGUGGCGAGCGAACGGGGACUAGCCCUUAAGUGGCUUUGAGAUUAGCGGAACGCUCUGGAAAGUGCGGCCAUAGUGGGUGAUAGCCCUGUACGCGAAAAUCUCUUAGUCAUGAAAUCGAGUAGGACGGAGCACGAGAAACUUUGUCUGAAUAUGGGGGGACCAUCCUCCAAGGCUAAAUACUACUGACUGACCGAUAGUGAACUAGUACCGUGAGGGAAAGGCGAAAAGAACCCCGGAGAGGGGAGUGAAAUAGAUCCUGAAACCGUAUGCGUACAAGCAGUGGGAGCAGACUUUGUUCUGUGACUGCGUACCUUUUGUAUAAUGGGUCAGCGACUUAUAUUCAGUGGCGAGCUUAACCGAAUAGGGGAGGCGUAGCGAAAGCGAGUCUUAAUAGGGCGUUUAGUCGCUGGGUAUAGACCCGAAACCGGGCGAUCUAUCCAUGGGCAGGUUGAAGGUUAGGUAACACUGACUGGAGGACCGAACCGACUACCGUUGAAAAGUUAGCGGAUGACCUGUGGAUCGGAGUGAAAGGCUAAUCAAGCUCGGAGAUAGCUGGUUCUCCUCGAAAGCUAUUUAGGUAGCGCCUCAUGUAUCACUGUAGGGGGUAGAGCACUGUUUCGGCUAGGGGGUCAUCCCGACUUACCAAACCGAUGCAAACUCCGAAUACCUACAAGUGCCGAGCAUGGGAGACACACGGCGGGUGCUAACGUCCGUCGUGAAAAGGGAAACAACCCAGACCGUCAGCUAAGGUCCCAAAGUUAUGGUUAAGUGGGAAACGAUGUGGGAAGGCUUAGACAGCUAGGAGGUUGGCUUAGAAGCAGCCACCCUUUAAAGAAAGCGUAAUAGCUCACUAGUCGAGUCGGCCUGCGCGGAAGAUGUAACGGGGCUCAAACCAUACACCGAAGCUACGGGUAUCACUUAGGUGAUGCGGUAGAGGAGCGUUCUGUAAGCCUGUGAAGGUGAGUUGAGAAGCUUGCUGGAGGUAUCAGAAGUGCGAAUGCUGACAUGAGUAACGACAAUGGGUGUGAAAAACACCCACGCCGAAAGACCAAGGUUUCCUGCGCAACGUUAAUCGACGCAGGGUUAGUCGGUCCCUAAGGCGAGGCUGAAAAGCGUAGUCGAUGGAAAACAGGUUAAUAUUCCUGUACUUCUGGUUAUUGCGAUGGAGGGACGGAGAAGGCUAGGCCAGCUUGGCGUUGGUUGUCCAAGUUUAAGGUGGUAGGCUGGAAUCUUAGGUAAAUCCGGGAUUCUAAGGCCGAGAGCUGAUGACGAGUUACCCUUUGGGUGACGAAGUGGUUGAUGCCAUGCUUCCAAGAAAAGCUUCUAAGCUUCAGAUAACCAGGAACCGUACCCCAAACCGACACAGGUGGUUGGGUAGAGAAUACCAAGGCGCUUGAGAGAACUCGGGUGAAGGAACUAGGCAAAAUGGCACCGUAACUUCGGGAGAAGGUGCGCCGGUGAGGGUGAAGCACUUGCUGCGUAAGCCCACGCCGGUCGAAGAUACCAGGCCGCUGCGACUGUUUAUUAAAAACACAGCACUCUGCAAACACGAAAGUGGACGUAUAGGGUGUGACGCCUGCCCGGUGCCGGAAGGUUAAUUGAUGGGGUUAGCUAACGCGAAGCUCUUGAUCGAAGCCCCGGUAAACGGCGGCCGUAACUAUAACGGUCCUAAGGUAGCGAAAUUCCUUGUCGGGUAAGUUCCGACCUGCACGAAUGGCGUAACGAUGGCGGCGCUGUCUCCACCCGAGACUCAGUGAAAUUGAAAUCGCUGUGAAGAUGCAGUGUAUCCGCGGCUAGACGGAAAGACCCCGUGAACCUUUACUAUAGCUUUGCACUGGACUUUGAAUUUGCUUGUGUAGGAUAGGUGGGAGGCUUUGAAGCGUGGACGCCAGUUCGCGUGGAGCCAUCCUUGAAAUACCACCCUGGCAACUUUGAGGUUCUAACUCAGGUCCGUUAUCCGGAUCGAGGACAGUGUAUGGUGGGUAGUUUGACUGGGGCGGUCUCCUCCUAAAGAGUAACGGAGGAGUACGAAGGUGCGCUCAGACCGGUCGGAAAUCGGUCGUAGAGUAUAAAGGCAAAAGCGCGCUUGACUGCGAGACAGACACGUCGAGCAGGUACGAAAGUAGGUCUUAGUGAUCCGGUGGUUCUGUAUGGAAGGGCCAUCGCUCAACGGAUAAAAGGUACUCCGGGGAUAACAGGCUGAUACCGCCCAAGAGUUCAUAUCGACGGCGGUGUUUGGCACCUCGAUGUCGGCUCAUCACAUCCUGGGGCUGAAGCCGGUCCCAAGGGUAUGGCUGUUCGCCAUUUAAAGUGGUACGCGAGCUGGGUUUAGAACGUCGUGAGACAGUUCGGUCCCUAUCUGCCGUGGACGUUUGAGAUUUGAGAGGGGCUGCUCCUAGUACGAGAGGACCGGAGUGGACGAACCUCUGGUGUUCCGGUUGUCACGCCAGUGGCAUUGCCGGGUAGCUAUGUUCGGAAAAGAUAACCGCUGAAAGCAUCUAAGCGGGAAACUUGCCUCAAGAUGAGAUCUCACUGGAACCUUGAGUUCCCUGAAGGGCCGUCGAAGACUACGACGUUGAUAGGUUGGGUGUGUAAGCGCUGUGAGGCGUUGAGCUAACCAAUACUAAUUGCCCGUGAGGCUUGACCAUAUAACACCCAAGCAAUU
rnacentral:rRNA from 1 species